rnacentral:tRNA from 1 species
GGAAGGGAGCCGGAUAACGGUUCGCCGGAACGCACUGCUAACGCGUGCCGCCUACGGGCGGUGAGGGUUCAAUUCCCUCCCCUUCCG